AGCAGCCGCGGUAAUUCCAGCUCCAAUAGCGUAUAUUAAAGUUGUUGCAGUUAAAAAGCUCGUAGUUGAAUUUCGGGAUUGACGUGAUGGUCGUGCCUUAAGGGGUAUGAACUGUUGCUGUUGAUUUCUCACCUUCUGGAGAAACUUGAUGCCCUUAAUUGGGUGUCUUGCGGAUCCAGGACCUUUACCUUGAAAAAAUUAGAGUGUUUAAAGCAGGCAUUUUGCUCGAAUACAUUAGCAUGGAAUAAUAGAAUAGGACGGCAUGGUUCUAUUUUGUUGGUUUCUAGGAUCACCGUAAUGAUUAAUAGGGAUAGUUGGGGGCAUUAGUAUUCAAUUGUCAGAGGUGAAAUUCUUGGAUUUAUUGAAGACUAACUACUGCGAAAGCAUUUGCCAAGGAUGUUUUCAUUAAUCAAGAACGAAAGUUAGGGGAUCGAAGACGAUCAGAUACCGUCGUAGUCUUAACCAUAAACUAUG
rnacentral:rRNA from 1 species